GACGAACGCUGGCGGCGUGCCUAAUACAUGCAAGUCGAGCGGGGUCCAUUCCCGGGCAACCGGGGUGAAGACCUAGCGGCGAACGGGUGAGUAACACGUGAGCAACCUACCCCGAACACCGGGAUAACCUCGGGAAACUGGGGCUAAUACCGGAUGCCUACGACAGGGCGCAUGUCCUGUGGUAGAAAGGUCCGCCGGUUCGGGAUGGGCUCGCGGCCUAUCAGCUUGUUGGUGGGGUAACGGCCCACCAAGGCUACGACGGGUAGCCGGCCUGAGAGGGUGUCCGGCCACACUGGGACUGAGACACGGCCCAGACUCCUACGGGAGGCAGCAUG
rnacentral:rRNA from 1 species